AGUGAACGCUGGCGGCAGGCCUAACACAUGCAAGUCGAGCGGCAGCGGGUCCUUCGGGAUGCCGGCGAGCGGCGGACGGGUGAGGAAUGCGUCGGAAUCUGCCUUUUUGUGGGGGAUAACGUAGGGAAACUUACGCUAAUACCGCAUACGACCUACGGGUGAAAGUGGGGGACCGCAAGGCCUCACGCAGAAAGAUGAGCCGACGUCGGAUUAGCUAGUUGGCGUGGUAAAGGCCCACCAAGGCGACGAUCCGUAGCUGGUCUGAGAGGAUGAUCAGCCACACUGGAACUGAGACACGGUCCAGACUCCUACGGGAGGCAGCAGUGGGGAAUAUUGGACAAUGGGCGCAAGCCUGAUCCAGCCAUGCCGCGUGUGUGAAGAAGGCCUUCGGGUUGUAAAGCACUUUUGUCCGGAAAGAAAUCCUGUCGGCUAAUACCCGGCGGGGAUGACGGUACCGGAAGAAUAAGCACCGGCUAACUUCGUG
rnacentral:rRNA from 1 species